UACGUAGGGCGCAAGCGUUAUCCGGAAUUAUUGGGCGUAAAGAGCUCGUAGGCGAUUUGUCGCGUCUGCUGUGAAAGCCCGGGGCUUAACUCCGGGUGUGCAGUGGGUACGGGCAGGCUAGAGUGCAGUAGGGGAGACUGGAAUUCCUGGUGUAGCGGUGGAAUGCGCAGAUAUCAGGAGGAACACCGAUGGCGAAGGCAGGUCUCUGGGCUGUUACUGACGCUGAGGAGCGAAAGCAUGGGGAGCAAAC
rnacentral:rRNA from 2 species